rnacentral:rRNA from 1 species
GACGAACGCUGGCGGCGUGCCUAAUACAUGCAAGUAGAACGCUGAAGGAGGAGCUUGCUCUUCUGGAUGAGUUGCGAACGGGUGAGUAACGCGUAGGUAACCUGCCUGGUAGCGGGGGAUAACUAUUGGAAACGAUAGCUAAUACCGCAUAACAGUAGAUGUUGCAUGACAUUUACUUAAAAGGUGCAAUUGCAUCACUACCAGAUGGACCUGCGUUGUAUUAGCUAGUUGGGGGGGUAACGGCUCACCAAGGCGACGAUACAUAGCCGACCUGAGAGGGGGGACGGCCACACUGGGACUGGAACAAGGGCCAGACUCCUACGGGAGGGAGCAGGAGGGAAUCUUCGGCAAUGGACGGAAGUCUGACCGCGCAACGCCGCGGGAGUGAAGGAGGUUUUCGGAUCGUAAAGCUCUGUUGUAAGGGAAGAACGAGUGUGAGAGUGGAAAGUUCACACUGUGACGGUAUCUUACCAGAAAGCGACGGCUAACUACGUG